rnacentral:rRNA from 1 species
AAUAUGGGGGGACCAUCCUCCAAGGCUAAAUACUCCUGACUGACCGAUAGUGAACCAGUACCGUGAGGGAAAGGCGAAAAGAACCCCGGCGAGGGGAGUGAAAAAGAACCUGAAACCGUGUACGUACAAGCAGUGGGAGCCUCUUUAUGGGGUGACUGCGUACCUUUUGUAUAAUGGGUCAGCGACUUAUAUUCUGUAGCAAGGUUAACCGAAUAGGGGAGCCGAAGGGAAACCGAGUCUUAACUGGGCGUUAAGUUGCAGGGUAUAGACCCGAAACCCGGUGAUCUAGCCAUGGGCAGGUUGAAGGUUGGGUAACACUAACUGGAGGACCGAACCGACUAAUGUUGAAAAAUUAGCGGAUGACUUGUGGCUGGGGGUGAAAGGCCAAUCAAACCGGGAGAUAGCUGGUUCUCCCCGAAAGCUAUUUAGGUAGCGCCUCGUGAAUUCAUCUCCGGGGGUAGAGCACUGUUUCGGCAAGGGGGUCAUCCCGACUUACCAACCCGAUGCAAACUGCGAAUACCGGAGAAUGUUAUCACGGGAGACACACGGCGGGUGCUAACGUCCGUCGUGAAGAGGGAAACAACCCAGACCGCCAGCUAAGGUCCCAAAGUCAUGGUUAAGUGGGAAACGAUGUGGGAAGGCCCAGACAGCCAGGAUGUUGGCUUAGAAGCAGCCAUCAUUUAAAGAAAGCGUAAUAGCUCACUGGUCGAGUCGGCCUGCGCGGAAGAUGUAACGGGGCUAAACCAUGCACCGAAGCUGCGGCAGCGACACUAUGUGUUGUUGGGUAGGGGAGCGUUCUGUAAGCCUGUGAAGGUGUGCUGUGAGGUAUGCUGGAGGUAUCAGAAGU